GAACGCUAGCGGCAGGCUUAACACAUGCAAGUCGAGGGCAGCAUGAUUUAACUUUCGGGUUAGAUUGAUGGCGACCGGCGCAAGGGUGCGUAACACGUGAGCAACUUGCCCUUAUCAGGGGAAUAACCGUUGGAAACGACGACUAAUACCCCAUAGCAUCACUUCAAGGCAUCUUUUAGUGAUUAAAGAAUUUCGGAAACGGAUAGGCUCGCGUGACAUUAGCUAGAUGGCGGGGUAACGGCCCACCAUGGCGACGAUGUCUAGGGGUUCUGAGAGGAAGGUCCCCCACACUGGAACUGAGACACGGUCCAGACUCCUACGGGAGGCAGCAGUGAGGAAUAUUGGUCAAUGGUCUGACGACUGAACCAGCCAUGCCGCGUGAAGGUCACGGCCCUAUGGGUCUUAAACUUCUUUUGUAAGGGAGCAAUAAGCGCCACGUGUGGCGUGAUGAGAGUACCUACGAAUAAGCAUCGGCUAACUCCGUG
rnacentral:rRNA from 1 species